CCAUGACUGGGGGUACAUUACCACUUUCUUCCCUCAUCGAGAUUUUUUUCUCCAGCCUCCCACUUACUACAACCCUGCCACUGGCAGUGUAUGGCAGUCACAGGCAUUCGUCUUGUAGAAAAUUUGGGGGUACCCCAUCCCUCCUCAUUUAUCCAUUCCCAAUAGACGGCCUUCCUCUUGUAGUAAUAGAUUAAAUGAUUCGGUGAUUAUUGAGACAGCCAGAGUUGUCAUUCUCUUCAGUUUCAUCUCACUGAGAAACUAGACUAUAUGGGACCAUCAGCCCACUGUAUCUACAAUCUCGGAAAACCCGUGGCAGCAUUCUAUUGUAUUUAAUAUAUCAGAAAGGCUGAAAGGGGGGUCAUUUUUUUAAAUUGAUGAUUCCACUUUACCUACC